GAACGCAGGCGGUGUGCCUAAUACAUGCAAGUCGUACGCACUGGCCCAACUGAUUGAUGGUGCUUGCACCUGAUUGACGAUGGAUCACCAGUGAGUGGCGGACGGGUGAGUAACACGUAGGUAACCUGCCCCGGAGCGGGGGAUAACAUUUGGAAACAGAUGCUAAUACCGCAUAACAACAAAAGCCACAUGGCUUUUGUUUGAAAGAUGGCUUUGGCUAUCACUCUGGGAUGGACCUGCGGUGCAUUAGCUAGUUGGUAAGGUAACGGCUUACCAAGGCGAUGAUGCAUAGCCGAGUUGAGAGACUGAUCGGCCACAAUGGAACUGAGACACGGUCCAUACUCCUACGGGAGGCAGCAGUAGGGAAUCUUCCACAAUGGGCGCAAGCCUGAUGGAGCAACACCGCGUGAGUGAAGAAGGGUUUCGGCUCGUAAAGCUCUGUUGUUGGAGAAGAACGUGCGUGAGAGUAACUGUUCACGCAGUGACGGUAUCCAACCAGAAAGUCACGGCUAACUACGUGCCAGCAGCCGCGGUAAUACGUAGGUGGCAAGCGUUAUCCGGAUUUAUUGGGCGUAAAGCGAGCGCAGGCGGUUGCUUAGGUCUGAUGUGAAAGCCUUCGGCUUAACCGAAGAAGUGCAUCGGAAACCGGGCGACUUGAGUGCAGAAGAGGACAGUGGAACUCCAUGUGUAGCGGUGGAAUGCGUAGAUAUAUGGAAGAACACCAGUGGCGAAGGCGGCUGUCUGGUCUGCAAAUGACGCUGAGGCUCGAAAGCAUGGGUAGCGAACACGAUUAGAUACCCCGGUAGUCCAUGCCGUAAACGAUGAGUGCUAGGUGUUGGAGGGUUUCCGCCCUUCAGUGCCGGAGCUAACGCAUUAAGCACUCCGCCUGGGGAGUACGACCGCAAGGUUGAAACUCAAAGGAAUUGACGGGGGCCCGCACAAGCGGUGGAGCAUGUGGUUUAAUUCGAAGCUACGCGAAGAACCUUACCAGGUCUUGACAUCUUGCGCUAACCUUAGAGAUAAGGCGUUCCCUUCGGGGACGCAAUGACAGGUGGUGCAUGGUCGUCGUCAGCUCGUGUCGUGAGAUGUUGGGUUAAGUCCCGCAACGAGCGCAACCCUUGUUACUAGUUGCCAGCAUUAAGUUGGGCACUCUAGUGAGACUGCCGGUGACAAACCGGAGGAAGGUGGGGACGACGUCAGAUCAUCAUGCCCCUUAUGACCUGCGCUACACACGUGCUACAAUGGACGGUACAACGAGUCGCAAGCUCGCGAGAGUAAGCUAAUCUCUUAAAGCCGUUCUCAGUUCGGACUGUAGGCUGCAACUCGCCUACACGAAGUCGGAAUCGCUAGUAAUCGCGGAUCAGCAUGCCGCGGUGAAUACGUUCCCGGGCCUUGUACACACCGCCCGUCACACCA
rnacentral:rRNA from 1 species